rnacentral:rRNA from 1 species
UAAUUGGGCGUUAAGUUGCAGGGUAUAGACCCGAAACCCGGUGAUCUAGCCAUGGGCAGGUUGAAGGUUGGGUAACACUAACUGGAGGACCGAACCGACUAAUGUUGAAAAAUUAGCGGAUGACCUGUGGCUGGGGGUGAAAGGCCAAUCAAACCGGGAGAUAGCUGGUUCUCCCCGAAAGCUAUUUAGGUAGCGCCUCGUGAAUUCAUCUCCGGGGGUAGAGCACUGUUUCGGCUAGGGGGCCAUCCCGGCUUACCAACCCGAUGCAAACUGCGAAUACCGGAGAAUGUUAUCACGGGAGACACACGGCGGGUGCUAACGUCCGUCGUGAAGAGGGAAACAACCCAGACCGCCAGCUAAGGUCCCAAAGUCAUGGUUAAGUGGGAAACGAUGUGGGAAGGCCCAGACAGCCAGGAUGUUGGCUUAGAAGCAGCCAUCAUUUAAAGAAAGCGUAAUAGCUCACUGGUCGAGUCGGCCUGCGCGGAAGAUGUAACGGGGCUAAACCAUGCACCGAAGCUGCGGCAGCGAACGUAUCACUUAAAGCGAUUCAGCGGGUUACGAUUGACGGAGCGAAGCGACGUCAAAGCGUAUACAAAGUCGAGUCGGUUUAAGGAUACGUUCGUUGGGUAGGGGAGCGUUCUGUAAGCCUGCGAAGGUGGCCUGUGAGGGUUGCUGGAGGUAUCAGAAGUGCGAAUGCUGACAUAAGUAACGAUAAAGCGGGUGAAAAGCCCGCUCGCCGGAAGACCAAGGGUUCCUGUCCAACGUUAAUCGGGGCAGGGUGAGUCGACCCCUAAGGCGAGGCCGA